rnacentral:rRNA from 1 species
UACAGAGGGUGCAAGCGUUAAUCGGAAUUACUGGGCGUAAAGCGUGCGUAGACGGUUAUGUAAGUCAGAUGUGAAAGCCCCGGGCUCAACCUGGGAAUUGCAUUCGAGACUGAAUAGCUAGGGUACGGUAGAGGGAAGUGGAAUUUCCGGUGUAGCGGUGAAAUGCGUAGAUAUCUGGAGGAACACCGGUGGCGAAGGCGGCAUCCUGGACCGGUAUUGACGCUGAGGCGCGAAAGCCAGGGGAGCAAACGGG